rnacentral:misc_RNA from 1 species
UCGCGGCUUAUCACCGGCAGUCUCCUAUGAGUCCCCACCAUGACGUGCUGGCAACAUAGAACGAGGGUUGCGCUCGUUGCGGGACUUAACCCAACAUCUCACGACACGAGCUGACGACAACCGUGCACCACCUGUGCACGGCCCUUACGGACCCCGUAUCUCUACGAGAUUUCCGUGCAUGUCAAGACUAGGUAAGGUUCUUCGCGUUGCAUCGAAUUAAGCAACAUGCUCCGCCGCUUGUGCGGGCCCCCGUCAAUUCCUUUGAGUUUUAGCCUUGCGGCCGUACUCCCCAGGCGGGGCGCUUAAUGCGUUAGCUGCGGCACGGAACUCGUGGAAUGAGCCCCACACCUAGCGCCCAACGUUUACGGCGUGGACUAC